UUCUAAUGUGUUUCCCGCCAUUCUUUUAUUAAUUUGACUCAUUCAUUUCUGUCGAACAAUAAAACAAAUUCAUCUACGAACAGUGGAAACCGGCGAGUCAAUUUUGUACUCAACAAAAACACUGCUCAAGAACCUAAAGACUAUCAAGAGUCCCUACGGAAGAGUCCUGGAGUUCCGCAUGAUCCGGAUCGUCAACCCAGCGGUGGUAGUGUGUUAAAGCGAAAUGACACUAACACCAUAAAAUUUGCGUCAUCCCCAGUAACUCGCAAGCCCCAACGCACUGGGCGAAAGUCUUCUAGAUUCUGAAAUGAAGUUUUACUCUAACUUCAAGUUCAAAGAGUUAACUUACUUUGAAGCCUUCGUGCCACAAUUCACUGUCGCACCUUGACUCGCAAUCACAACAUCGUGUAGCAGAAAGUCUCUUCCGAAUAAAUUUGACAAAUGACAAUACA